GACGAAUGCUGGCUGCGUGCUUAACACAUGCAAGUCGAACGGUGAAGGAGGGCUUGCCCUCCGGAUCAGUGGCGAACGGGUGAGUAACACGUGGGCAACCUGCCCCUCACUCUGGGAUAACGCCGGGAAACCGGCGCUAAUACCGGCUACGACCAGGCGCGACAUCUCGCCUGGUGGAAAGAAUUUCGGUGAGGGAUGGGCCCGCGGCCUAGCAGCUUGUUGGUGGGGUAACGGCCCACCAAGGCGACGACGGGUAGCCGGCCUGAGAGGGCGACCGGCCACACUGGGACUGAGACACGGCCCAGACUCCUACGGGAGGCAGCAGUGGGGAAUAUUGCGCAAUGGGCGAAAGCCUGACGCAGCGACGCAGCGUGAGGGACGAAGGCCUUCGGGUUGUAAACCUCUUUCAGCGGGGACGAAGCGAAAGUGACGGUACCCGCAGAAGAAGCACCGGCUAACUACGUGCCAGCCGCCGCCGUAA
rnacentral:rRNA from 1 species